AACGAACGCUGGCGGCAUGCCUAACACAUGCAAGUCGAACGAACCCUUCGGGGUUAGUGGCGCACGGGUGCGUAACGACGUGGGAAUCUGCCCUUCGGUUCGGAAUAACAGUUAGAAAUGACUGCUAAUACCGGAUAAUGACGUAAGUCCAAAGAUUUAUCGCCGAAGGAUGAGCCCGCGUAGGAUUAGCUAGUUGGUGAGGUAAAAGCUCACCAAGGCGACGAUCCUUAGCUGGUCNGAGAGGAUGAUCAGCCACACUGGGACUGAGACACGGCCCAGACUCCUACGGGAGGCAGCAGUGGGGAAUAUUGGACAAUGGGCGAAAGCCUGAUCCAGCAAUGCCGCGUGUGUGAAGAAGGCCUUC
rnacentral:rRNA from 1 species